rnacentral:rRNA from 1 species
AGUAACACGUGGAUAACCUACCUAUAAGACUGGGAUAACUUCGGGAAACCGGAGCUAAUACCGGAUAAUAUUUUGAACCGCAUGGUUCAAAAGUGAAAGACGGUCUUGCUGUCACUUAUAGAUGGAUCCGCGCUGCAUUAGCUAGUUGGUAAGGUAACGGCUUACCAAGGCAACGAUGCAUAGCCGACCUGAGAGGGUGAUCGGCCACACUGGAACUGAGACACGGUCCAGACUCCUACGGGAGGCAGCAGGC